rnacentral:lncRNA from 1 species
AGCCCCCAAUUCAACAAAGACUGAUGGAUACAAUAGGGGCAAGAAGGUAGCAGAAUCUGUACCUGAGGAAUCGCCCAGGUUUGGGCUGCAAGUGGAUUGGCAAAGAGCGGAGCAACCAUGGGGCUCCCUCAGUGAUCUCCUCGGGCAACAGUGAAGUCUUAAGGAUGAAGAGUUCUUGGAGGUCGAGCAUGACAUUUGAUUCUUCAAGGCGUGGAAAAGGAACGCUAACGGGCAUCGCCAGCAUUUCGUGAGUGGUUACUGCAGCUGGCCUGGAGCUCCUCGGUUUGCACAUGUUAGUCAUCUCAGUGAAUCCCUGUCACACCUCAGGAGAGAGCCACCAUUGGUUAUCUCCACUCUAUCUGUGAAGAAGGAGUCUGCCCGAGAUCACCCCCACCACCAGUGCGCCGGGGCAUCUGUCUGCGGCACAGCACAGCAUCCCUCUCCUGCCCUCCAGAUGUCCUUGACUCCCACCUUCAAAAGCAAGUUGACAUCCUCAUUCAAGAGCAAGGGCCAGCUUGGGUCCAUAUUCCUUCUGGAAACUUCCACAGAUGACCCAGCUUGCAUGGCCGCACUUCUCUGAAUGUCAUACACCUGUCUACUCCAGAGGAGGCAACUCUAAUGGGACCUAUGACAUCCAUCAUCAUGGACAGUUGUUAACCACUGAAUUAUUAUUUAACUCCUUGUCUCUGUGACGCUUUUUUCUCCACCCAGGCUGUUUCUUGGGGAGACUGUGUAUUAUGAGUCUUUGUUUUCCUGUAGCCCCCAGCACAUGUCUCUCUCCAUAUGUGAGACAAUCAAUGUUACUUGAAUAAAUGAAUAAGAGAAUGAA